AAAAAAGGCAAACCUGGGUUUCCGUGUCCAACUUUGACUGUCCGUCUUAUAUGAAAUUUUUUUAUAACUCGUAUUUCUAUUGUUGUUAGAUGAUAAAACAUGAUUAAUAUUCUAUGCGUGACUUGUCUUUUUAAUUUUUUUCAUAAUUUAUUUAAAUAAGACAGACAGUUAAACGUUGGGCACGUAAACCAAGGUUUAUCUUUUU
rfam:Oryza rufipogon genomic scaffold, chr01